GACGAACGCUGGCGGCGUGCCUAAUACAUGCAAGUAGAACGCACAGUUUAUACCGUAGCUUGCUACACCAUAAACUGUGAGUUGCGAACGGGUGAGUAACGCGUAGGUAACCUGCCUGGUAGCGGGGGAUAACUAUUGGAAACGAUAGCUAAUACCGCAUAAUAUUGAUUAUUGCAUGAUAAUUGAUUGAAAGAUGCUAUUGCAUCACUACCAGAUGGACCUGCGUUGUAUUAGCUAGUAGGUGAGGUAACGGCUCACCUAGGCGACGAUACAUAGCCGACCUGAGAGGGUGAUCGGACACACUGGGACUGAGACACGGCCCAGACUCCUACGGGAGGCAGCAGUAGGGAAUCUUCGGCAAUGGACGAAAGUCUGACCGAGCAACGCCGCGUGAGUGAAGAAGGUUUUCGGAUCGUAAAGCUCUGUUGUAAGAGAAGAACGGGUGUGAGAGUGGAAAGUUCACACUGUGACGGUAUCUUACCAGAAAGGGACGGCUAACUACGUG
rnacentral:rRNA from 1 species